AGAUCCUCCCAAGUUCGACUCGCAAAGCCACACGCAGAGUUCUCGUAACUCCAUUCCGCUUUGAGGAAGGUCCCCGGACCCGUGGUAGAGAGUACCGCUGGGUGUACCAGUCAGCCGUGGACGACGUCGGCGCAAGAUGGGCCAUCGGCGCGCCGAUAUGUCUGCGGUGUUUGUCAUAGUACGAGAGAUGUCGUCAAUCUGCUUCGGCGGACAACAAAACGGGGCCUACUCUGAGAGGAUU
rnacentral:RNase_MRP_RNA from 14 species